UACGGAGGGUGCAAGCGUUAUCCGGAUUUACUGGGUUUAAAGGGUGCGUAGGUGGGUUGGUAAGUCAGUGGUGAAAUACUUUCGCUUAACGAAGGAACUGCCAUUGAUACUACCAGUCUUGAAUACAGUGGAGGUAGGCGGAAUGCGUCAUGUAGCGGUGAAAUGCUUAGAUAUGACGCAGAACACCAAUUGCGAAGGCAGCUUGCUACACUGUUAUUGACACUGAGGCACGAAGGCGUGGGGAUCAAACAGG
rnacentral:rRNA from 1 species